rnacentral:misc_RNA from 1 species
AAAAAAAAAAAAAACAAAAGAAAACCAUUUCAACUGCAAUGCCAAACAAAUGCUAGAUGGGAAAUUUCAUGAUAUGGAUAAAUUGUCACAGUGUGCGACUCUGUGUCUGUGUUGAAUUAUAAUGUAUUGAAAACAUUGGAUGUCUGCAUUUUUUUAAUCUCAAGGGGCUACUGAUGUGAACCUCAAGAAGGAUACCUUGAAACCUACGAACAAGUUUGGUUUAUAAUCCCAAGAAAG